ACACUAUGGUUAUUGCACUGUACUGAAAACAAAACAAAUGAUUGCUUUAUGAUUAAUGCCUUUCCUUUUCCACAGUCUUUUGCCUUUAUAUAGAGGUUUACAAAAAGCUGUUGUCAUCAUAACCAGUAUAACCAAUAAGAACAAAAAAAAAUGUUGAUGCUGAACGUGAACACCUGUACUGAAAUGAUGUUGUGGUUACUGUGAAUGUGACACAUAAGUUUAACUUAUAAAAUGAAGUUUUUGUUUGGUCAGUGACAAUCAGAGACAUCAUCUUUUAUAGUCUUUUGUUUUGGUCAGAGAUGUCUUUCUGAAAACCAGAUGAACUGGAAAUGCCAGCGCAAAAAUCAGCAUUGAGAUGCAUUAUUUUGCACGAGGUGCUUCCCUGUCAUGGGGAGAUCAUAUGACCAGUCCAAUACUACAGAUUCCCAAACAGAAUUUUUGAAUGCAGAAUAAAUUGAUCAUGGGUGAGUUUCUGUGAUGCUGCAUCCACACCAGUAGAUGUCAGUAUAAAGUCCACUGUCAUCAUGAUUACACUUCUUCUAAAAGCAAUAAUGAAUGCAAAUAAUAAAAUGCAGCUAAUUGUAUAAACAUGAACAGUUUAACUGGCAAAAUGAUAUGCCCUCAUGCACAAAACAAAUGCAACCAGACUACUAUAAAUGCAUGUUCACUCUCAGCGAAUAUAAACAUGGUUUGUGUUGAAUUUGGAGCUGCCAAGAGCAUUAAAGCAUCGCAAAAUGUUAAAUUGUUCUAUUCAGCUUGUGUUAGUGUAAUAAUUUUGAUUAUUGUUCGGCUUAUGUAGCUCACGGUGAGCUACAUAAGCAUUGAUUACCCUUUGGGGUAGGCUAAUUGAGGUACAAAGGUGUACCUUUUUAUAGUCUCAGCAAACAACUAUCCAGCUAACAGGGAACUUUCUCAGAACUCUUGGUUCUCUCAAAGAUAUGAACAAAACUUCUUCCAGCUGGAAAAUAACAAAAAGGUCCAUUGCUGUGCUCCAGACAUUUCUGGGCUGCAAAUUUUGGCCAGUGGGUGUGUCAGAAGCAGCUACAAAAAUGAGAAGGAUAUAGCUGCAGCCCAGAGAUCUUCAAAUGGGGGUGGGAACUUCACAGCAGGGCGUGGCUUCCUCCCUUUGACAGACAGACACAUGACACAGUUUGUAUUCCCAAACCAGUUCAAAACUCCGCCUCGUAACCGAUACAAAAGAUUUAAUUGGUCAUGUCAAUCACAGUACUGGUUUCCUACACAAUGCUACAAUUGCCCCCCAAAGAUUGACCGGCUAUAACUCCAAACUUACUUUAUAUCUCUCAAUUCUGACUUUUUUUUUUUUUCUGAAAAUUGUGAGAGAAGAACUCACAAUUACCUUUUUAUUAUUAUUAUUAUUAUUUUAUUCUGUGGUGGAAAUGGUCUUUCAUACUUAUGCAUGAUUUAUAUAAUUAUAAGAUUAAAUAUAAACUUUUAUAACCUGUAAAAUACUGCAUACAAGCAGCAAAGUGUCAUUAUUCCGGUUAUUCUUGAUGAUGCCUGAAAUGUUGCCAUGUUUUUUUACAGUUUAGGGGUUGGACUGUAUUUUAUAAAUUCUCGUGAAAGCUGCUAAAAUCCCAUUUUUGCAUAAGUGGGAUGCUGUUGUUAGCCGCAGUUAUUACACUGGUUUCCUAAAUGGUUUCUGUAAGAGCUUUCCAAUGUAAUUGUUGGCUUUCUGGAGUGCUGAAUAUUGAUCGCUCUGCUCUUUAUUUUAAUAACCCAUGAGCAUGCAUCCUGGUGGUCAUCAGUAGAUGCAGAAAAUACCACAAUGAAACACAAAAAGCAAUUUAUGUGUGUGUGAGAAGAAAGAAAGAGAAGCCACACAGAGGAAUAGAUGCUUAUGACAGCAAUAAUAAGAUGAGUCCAGCCAAACAUGUAAUCAUAUUUCAUCACAUAAGGAUUGCAUUUCGAAUGGUCCACAUAAUUAAUGUGAAAACUAAAAUUAUGGCAUAAUCCUUCAAUUCCUGCUUGUCCAAUAUGUUGAUGCACUCAAGUCCAAAUAUUGGUACAUUUGGUGUAAAUGUAUCAACAAUAUCAAUGACCCAUCUUUUUCACAGGGCUUAUACCAAUUUUUGUUCCAUCAAAUGCUCUCUAGAAUAAACAUGACUUUCAAUUCUCA
ensembl:lncRNA